rnacentral:rRNA from 1 species
GUUGUAUAGUCAAGUAAUUAAGUGCAUGUGGUGGAUGCCUUGGCAGUCAGAGGCGAUGAAAGACGUGAUAGCCUGCGAAAAGCUCCGGGGAGGCGGCAAAUAUCCUUUGAUCCGGAGAUGUCUGAAUGGGGGAACCCACCUACUUUAAGGUAGGUAUUGCAACAUGAAUACAUAGUGUUGCAAGGCGAACGAGGGGAAGUGAAACAUCUCAGUACCCUUAGGAAAAGAAAUCAAUUGAGAUUCCCUCAGUAGCGGCGAGCGAACGGGGAUCAGCCCAUUAAGUUAUGUGUGUUUUAGUGGAACGCUCUGGGAAGUGCGAACGUAGAGGGUGAUAUUCCCGUACACGAAAGGGCACACAUAAUGAUGACGAGUAGGGCGAGGCACGUGAAACCUUGUCUGAAUAUGGGGGGACCAUCCUCCAAGGCUAAAUACUCCUGACUGACCGAUAGUGAACCAGUACCGUGAGGGAAAGGCGAAAAGAACCCC